CUCUAGGUCAUGAAUAUCUCAGCCAGUCUCCUUAGCCUACUCCUCUAGGUCAUGAAUAUCUCAGCCAGUCUCCUUAGCCUACUCCUCUAGGUCAUGAAUAUCUCAGCCAGUCUCCUUAGCCUACUCCUCUAGGUCAUGAAUAUCUCAGCCAGUCUCCUUAGCCUACUCCUCUAGGUCAUGAAUAUCUCAGCCAGUCUCCUUAGCCUACUCCUCUAGGUCAUGAAUAUCUCAGCCAGUCUCCUUAGCCUACUCCUCUAGGUCAUGAAUAUCUCAGCCAGUCUCCUUAGCCUACUCCUCUAGGUCAUGAAUAUCUCAGCCAGUCUCCUUAGCCUACUCCUCUAGGUCAUGAAUAUCUCAGCCAGUCUCCUUAGCCUACUCCUCUAGGUCAUGAAUAUCUCAGCCAGUCUCCUUAGCCUACUCCUCUAGGUCAUGAAUAUCUCAGCCAGUCUCCUUAGCCUACUCCUCUAGGUCAUGAAUAUCUCAGCCA